rnacentral:rRNA from 1 species
UUGAACGCUGGCGGCAUGCUUUACACAUGCAAGUCGAACGGUAACAGGCCUUCGGGUGCUGACGAGUGGCGAACGGGUGAGUAAUGCAUCGGAACGUACCCAGAGGUGGGGGAUAACGCAGCGAAAGCUGUGCUAAUACCGCAUGUGAUCUGAGGAUGAAAGCGGGGGACCGAGCAGCAAUGUUUGGCCUCGCGCCUUUGGAGCGGCCGAUGUCGGAUUAGCUAGUUGGUGGGGUAAAGGCCUACCAAGGCGACGAUCCGUAGCUGGUCUGAGAGGACGACCAGCCACACUGGGACUGAGACACGGCCCAGACUCCUACGGGAGGCAGCAGUGGGGAAUUUUGGACAAUGGGCGAAAGCCUGAUCCAGCAAUGCCGCGUGCGGGAAGAAGGCCUUCGGGUUGUAAACCGCUUUUGGCAGGAACGAAACGGUGUCCGCUAAUACCGGGCGCUAAUGACGGUACCUGCAGAAUAAGCACCGGCUAACUACGUG